rnacentral:rRNA from 1 species
UACGGAGGGUGCGAGCGUUAUCCGGAUUUACUGGGUUUAAAGGGUGUGUAGGCGGAUUAUUAAGUCAGUGGUGAAAUCUCGGGGCUCAACCCCGAAACUGCCAUUGAUACUAUUAGUCUUGAAUACUGUGGAGGUGAGCGGAAUGUGUCAUGUAGCGGUGAAAUGCAUAGAGAUGACACAGAACACCGAUUGCGAAGGCAGCUCACUACGCAGUGAUUGACGCUGAGGCACGAAAGCGUGGGGAUCAAACAGG